rnacentral:rRNA from 1 species
AUACGUAGGUGGCAAGCGUUGUCCGGAUUUAUUGGGCGUAAAGCGAGCGCAGGCGGUUUUUUAAGUCCGAUGUGAAAAUGCGGGGCUCAACCCCGUAUGGCAUUGGAUACUGGAAGUCUUGAGUGCAGGAGAGGAAAGGGGAAUUCCCAGUGUAGCGGUGAAAUGCGUAGAUAUUGGGAGGAACACCAGUGGCGACGGCGCCUUUCUGGACUGUGUCUGACACUGAGAUGCGAAAGCUAGGGUAGCAAACGGGAUUAGAUACCCCGGUAGUCCUAGCCGUAAACGAUGGGUACUAGGUGUAGGGGGUAUCGACCCCCCCUGUGCCGGAGUUAACGCAAUAAGUACCCCGCCUGGGGACUACGGUCGCAAGACUGAA